CUGCCUCUUUAAAAGGGGGGAGGGGCAAACUUUUAGUGGGAAAGGCUUUAAAAUGCUGCUUUGUUCCAAAGGCCGUUCUGCAAUGAUGAAGGGGGAUGAUUGAAAAGAGCUGGACUAAAUUAGUCUAACUAGGACACUUGAAGGCUUGUGAAUCAGUUCACACGAUCAGUGUGAAGAGCGGGUAUGAAGACCCAGAUGCUGGUGUGUGCGUGUGCGUAUAAGCCCCAACAGUUCUGGCGGUCAGAAGUCCGAAAUGGGUCUUACACAACCAAAAUCCAGAAGUCGACAGGGAGGAAGAACUGAGGAUCCUACAUCCUGUUAGGGAGCAGCGAGAGCACUGCAGUAAGACAUAACCCUCCUUUGCCUCUCUAUGUCCUCUGCCCCAUGCUGCUUAUGUCCUUAUUGAAGUUAAGAGUCCGGCUGUCAUUGAGAACCUCUGGUACUGCACCAUUUGAUGAAGGGCUAUGAAAAACUCCCCUGAGAACAGCAAUGCACACUGAUCCUACCAGCUCAUUCACUUUAGAAUACACUCUCUAAAGCCAAUACUAAUGGCUGUAGACAAGUGGGGCAGGAUUGUCAAGAUACCUCUACCCAGUUCUUUCUACAGAACUGGUCUCUACAGAACUGUCUGGUUCUCUGAGGUCACAGCAGUAUAAUCUUAAGGUGACCAUUAAAAUUUGAUUGACACAUUUUCAGGAUUUAAAGUAAAAUUAAAAGAAUGUGGAAGGCAGCUGUUUAUGGCACUGUAAUAGAUAGCCAUGUUUACGAAAACAAAUUCAAGUCGGGCAAUGAUCCGGCAGAUUUUGUUUGCCAGGGAGGACCAUUGAACCAAUGGGACCCACAUUUUUCCCACUUCAAGAGAUUUUUUUUCUCUCAGUGACAUUAUGUAACUGACUCAGAUCUCAUUUUUCCUUUAUAUACCCAGACAACCCCAGAGAUGCUGAGACCCCAGAGAUUCCACUUUUUAUCAGAUAUUUGGCACAAAGAAACACUUUUGCAGUCUAUAGUUUAAACUAAACAACUGUCUGGGACACUCUUGUGAUUGUAGGUGCUAAUUUCAACUCUCUGGUAACCCAUUCCUCAGUAUUACCAUCUAUAAAAUGGAUGUAGUGAUAAUAAACUAAGUCAUGAAAUUGUUUAUGAGGAAUAACCACUGAUGGGAUUAUAUGGCACUUUACACACAUAAAAUCCUAAGUAGUCCAAGCAAUCAAAAGUAACAUUUCCCAGUGACAUCUCCAUAAAAGCCACUUUCUUCUGAACAAAUACAAACUUUCCAGAGAUGUCUAAGCCACAGAACUGCACAGGCAGAUGGGAAAUGUAAACCCUACAGAGAAACAGAGAAAUGAAACGAAAUCUGCAUUUGAACAUUGGAGUUUUAUCACAAUUGCAAUACAUCUAACAGUCUUCCUUGUUUUAGUUACUAUAUGUUAUUUUUCUUGCCAUAAUGAAGAAAAGAUAUCACAGAAAAUGAUGUUAAAGCAGGCCUAACAUACACUUGCUGAGUUUUCUGGUGAAAGAUUAUGUUUUCAAAAAACUUCUCCAAGGGAAAUUCUUUGAAGUGUUUUUACUGCCAUUUGAUGGGUUAAAAUUUUGUUAUUUGCAUUAUUUUGAAAUGUCUUUGUACUCUAAAGCCUGGUAAAAGGAUGCAUAAUUGUGGAAAACAAUUUAAUAAAUAAGAGAAAACUAACAGUAACAAUAUAAAAUACAUAUGGAAUUUCUGACUCCAAAGAAUUGAAAUGGGGAGAGGGUGAUUAAAAUGAAGAGAAAAGUUGACAAGUGAAAUUUCAAGCAGUUUUAUUUUUAAUGGGAAAAAAAAAAUUCUUCACCAUUAAUGUGUAAUCUGCACAAAGACAAGGUUAAAAAAAAAGAAAGAGCAGAGUCAGGAAGGUCAGGGUGUUACAUCGGAUUUGUGCAGAGAAAUUAUAUAAUAACACUUUGGAUAGAUGACUUAAGUGAAACUGGAAUAAUGACAUCCUGAAUAUUGUUUGGCCACAAACAGUAGAAAUUUCUCCCUUUGUAAUGCCUUCCACUUCAUCC